CCUACGGGGGGCUGCAGUAGGGAAUAUUGCGCAAUGGGGGAAACCCUGACGCAGCAACGCCGCGUGAGUGAGGAAGGUCUUCGGAUUGUAAAACUCUGUUCUUAGAGAAAAAUGAUUCAGGAGCUAAUAUCUCUUGGAAGUGAUGGUAUCUAAGGAGAAAGGACCGGCUAACUUCGUGCCAGCAGCCGCGGUAAUACGAAGGGUCCAAGCGUUGUUCGGAUUUAUUGGGCGUAAAGCGCGCGCAGGCGGAUCAGUAAGUCAGGUGUGAAAUCUCG
rnacentral:rRNA from 1 species